rnacentral:rRNA from 1 species
ACAGCAUGUCUAGUAUAAGCAUUACAUACGUGUAAACUCUCGCAAUGUGCUCAUUAAAUCAGUUAUCGUUUAUUUGAUAGUACCUUACUACAUGGAUAACCGUGGUAAUUCUAGAGCUAAUACAUGCUAAAAACCCCAACUUCGGGAGGGGUGUAUUUAUUAGAUAAAAAACCAACGCCCUUCGGGGCUUCUUGGUGAUUCAUAAUAACUUUACGGAUCGCAUGGCCUUGCGCCGGCGACGGUUCAUUCAAAUUUCUGCCCUAUCAACUUUCGAUGGUAAGGUAUUGGCUUACCAUGGUUUCAACGGGUAACGGGGAAUUAGGGUUCGAUUCCGGAGAGGGAGCCUGAGAAACGGCUACCACAUCCAAGGAAGGCAGCAGGCGCGCAAAUUACCCAAUCCCGACACGGGGAGGUAGUGACAAUAAAUACUGAUACAGGGCUCUUUUGGGUCUUGUAAUUGGAAUGAGUACAAUUUAAACCUCUUAACGAGGAACAAUUGGAGGGCAAGUCUGGUGCCAGCAGCCGCGGUAAUUCCAGCUCCAAUAGCGUAUAUUAAAGUUGUUGCAGUUAAAAAGCUCGUAGUUGAAACUUGGGUCUGGCUGGCAGGUCCGCCUCACCGCGUGUACUUGUCCGGCCGGGCCUUCCUUCUGGAGAACCUCAUGCCCUUCACUGGGCGUGUUGGGGACCAGGACUUUUACUUUGAAAAAAUUAGAGUGUUCAAAGCAGGCCUUUGCUCGAAUACGUUAGCAUGGAAUAAUAGAAUAGGACGUGCGGUCCUAUUUUGUUGGUUUCUAGGACCGCCGUAAUGAUUAAUAGGGACAGUCGGGGGCAUCAGUAUUCAAUUGUCAGAGGUGAAAUUCUUGGAUUUAUUGAAGACUAACUACUGCGAAAGCAUUUGCCAAGGAUGUUUUCAUUAAUCAGUGAACGAAAGUUAGGGGAUCGAAGACGAUCAGAUACCGUCGUAGUCUUAACCGUAAACUAUGCCGACUAGGGAUCGGGCGAUGUGUAUUUUCUGACUCGCUCGGCACCUUACGAGAAAUCAAAGUAUGUGGG